AUGCCGCAUGUCUGGCCUGGCCAGCGGCGGAAUCUGCAGCCUCUGCUAGUAGUGGUACAGACGACAGCCGAGAAAGUGGAACAACACACCGUCAGUCAGUCGGUCGUCGAUUCGGGACUCGCACUUGGCCAGGAAUCCCAAAUAAAUCAAUCAAGUCGCGUUACGCGAAAAAAAUAGAAUUCUGCGAUGGAUUGUGGAAUCGUGGCCAGCAGGACGAACCGCUCGGUUUAGCUUGCUCUGUGUUUUCUGACCCCCUCUUUCUACCUUAAUCUAUCUGCGAGUGUGUCCCCCUUGAAGAAUCUCCGCGACUUCGUCGCAGCCGUCGUCGUCGUCGCAGUCUGCACUGCACCAUAAUUUUAAUUGCAUCCUAAGUGCGUCCAGAUUUUUUUUUUCGGAUUAACAUGAUAAAACUUCGCGUCUCGACGCGUCAGCUGUACGCGUUCUUGGGCUAUUGCUUGCUGCUGGUGUAUCUGCUGUGGCCGGGUAGGUUCGCCAGCAAGUACGAGUACAUCGAGGGUGAGGACAUCUACGAUGCGCUCGUGCGGAAGACCACGAAGAACAUGAGUCUGCAGCGGAACGGGAUCCGGUGCGAUUACAGCGACGUGCUGGAGGAGAAUCUGUACCUGUACCGUCUUCCCUUCACCGAGGAGAUCAUCAACAACAACGUCCGGCUCGGUGGCGAGUGGUACCCGGAGGAUUGCCUGCCCAGCUUCAGCACCGCCAUCAUCAUCCCGUACCGGCAGCGGGAACGCCAGCUGAACCAGUUCCUAAUGUACAUGCACAACUACCUGCGCCGGCAGCGAAUCCACUACCGAAUCUUCGUCAUCGAACAGUACGACCCGAAGCCCUUCAACCGGGCCAAACUGUUCAACAUCGGAGCCCUCAUCGCCAUGAAGCUCGACUUCCCCUGUCUCGUCCUGCACGACGUUGACCUCAUGCCCCAAAAUCUCGGCCAUCUCUACGCCUGCUCGCAGCAACCUCGUCACAUGUGCUCCAGCCUGGACGAGUUCCGGUACAACCUCCCGUACAAAGGCCUGUUCGGCGGCGUCGUAGCCAUCCAGUCGCACCAGUUCAUGAAGGUGAACGGGAUGUCCAACAUGUUCAACGGGUGGGGCGGCGAAGACGACGACUUUUACGCCCGGCUCGAGAACAAACAGAUCCAGAUUUGUCGCUUUGCGCCCGAGUACAGCCGGUACACGAUGCUGAAGCACCGCAAGGAGAAGCCCAACAAGGACCGGGUGGCGUUUCUGAGGAAUGGACACCUGAGGUAUCACACCGACGGGUUGAACUCGCUGGUGUACAAGGAGGUGGGACUGAAGUUGCACAAUUUGUUCACGCACGUGCUGGUGGAGACGUAAGAGGGAAGAAGAGUUGAUUUGAAUUCGUCAUUGUUAUCUAGUCCGUCGAGAUAAGAUAAGGUCGCUCCGAUAAGAUAACGGACAAAAGCAUAACGCCAUGCGAUUAAACAUGAAUAGUGCGAGUACUUUGCGAACAACUCCGACGACAGCGACAGUUUUGUCAGCUGAUCAUCCCGUUUGAUUUAUCGCACUCGCUAUCGAGCGACACUUUUUACGUUCUUCCACGCGUUUGAUGCACCCAAUUGAGUGGUGUUGAUAAGAUAAGAGGCCAAGGCAGGUACUUUUUUCGAUUAGCCACUAGACGAGACAGCAAUUGGUGUAUUUAUUUUGAGCCCUCGAUUGAUUGGAAAAAAGGAAUGCGAGUGUGUAUUUGUUUCAGUGUGUGUGUGCAACUUGUCAAUUCAGCGCCCUCGAGAGAAUUGGUUUAAUUUGCGAAUUGGUUUGUUUGUGGGAGGAAUGUUGUUGGGGAACAAUAAUUUGAUUGAUUGUGGUAGGGGAAAAGAAAGAUGGGAUACAAAAGGAACAAAGCAGAAAACUCACAUUGCCUUAUGCGGCUCCAUAUAAUUAGGCAGCAGCGUAAUUUGUUUAAUUUAUUGAAUUUUGAAUAAAAACGGUAGUAUUUUACGUGUUAGCAUGUUUAGCGUGUAAGUGAAGACGAUAUUACACUGUAGGAAAAAUGUGUGUGUAGUCUGCGUUAGUUGUGGACGAAUCCUGCAAACGUUUUAUUCGUUGUUUGAUAAAAAAAAAAUACAAGAUAAAAACAAAUCUUACAUGCAUCGGUUAAAUUAUUAGCAGUUAUUUUAGUAUUUAAGCAAAUACCAAAACUAGUACGUAAGUAGGAUUUUCAAAUUUGCAGUUAUAGUGAUAAGUAAAACUACAAAAUCGGAACGAAUAUCACACACGUGGGUAAGGAAUUCUAACACAAGUAAUAAACUCUUAUUCGCUUCUUGCAAAGUAUUAAACUUUAAACAAAACAACCAACCUACACUAGAACGAGCAAAGUCAUUAGAACUGUACUGUUUUUUAGUAUACAUAACUCACUGCGAGAACAAUAACUUUAAACCAAAACUUUUACACACUGCAAAUCAAACUUAAAACAAAAAAGAAACUAAACUUUAACACAACACAACACAAGUCCCCCCCACUAAAAAUGUUAAUUACUGCAGUAAAUGUACUUUCUAAUCUCUUGCAAGCAUUCAAAUUUUCCCAAGGUAAAACGUGAUAGACAUUUUAGCAAAUAAAAAUAAAAUAAAAACUUAAAAGCAACUGUGAAACAAAUUCGCACAGUUUUUUUUAGGGAGCAGCGCAUGUUCAACAAAAAAAUACA